rnacentral:rRNA from 1 species
UACGUAGGGUGCGAGCGUUAAUCGGAAUUACUGGGCGUAAAGCGUGCGCAGGCGGCGCGUUAAGACAGGUGUGAAAGCCCCCGAGCUUAACUUGGGGAAUUGCGCUUGUGACUGGCGUGCUGGAGUGUGGCAGAGGGAGGUGGAAUUCCACGUGUAGCAGUGAAAUGCGUAGAGAUGUGGAGGAACACCCAUGGCGAAGGCAGCUCUCUGGUCGACCUCUGACGCUGAGACGCGAAAGCGUGGGGGAGCGAACGGG